UUCUUCGUUUAUAAGGGACAUAACUCGUUGAACCUCUAUAUAAAGGACACCUCUCUAUAAAGGACACUUUUGUCUUGUUCCUUAGGUGUCCUUUAUAGACAGGUUCGACUGUACAUCCUUCCUUACAUGCAAACACACACUGUCAUUCAGAGAGAGAGAGAGUAUUUACAUAAAGCUGUAUCUACUGGAAAAUCUAAUCUUUAAUUUUAGUAUAUUAGGAAAUACUUUCUCUCUUUUACACAGAUAAAUGUGUCAUUAAAAUUUAAAUAUAUAGCUGGCGGUUGCAGUAAAAUGCUUAGUUACUUAUGAAUAAAAUCAUAUAAAACAUUUUAUUUCAUUUUUGUUUUUCUGUCAGGGGUUGGGUGUUAUUUCUAUCAGUUUACUCCAUUUUUUCCAAUCAGUAUUAAAUUUUUCCAAACUCCUAUUUCCUUUAUCAAUGCAAAUAUAUUUCAGAACACUGUAAUUAUCCUUGAUAAUGGAUUUCAAUGCCGUUACUGAUAAGUUUUGCUCUAAACAUCUUGAUCUAUAAAUAUAUUGUUUCAUUAUAAGUAAAAUCAGAUUGUCUGUUUGUUUAUUAAAAGAAAAUGGAAUCAAUAAUGUAUCUAACAAAAAUUCAAAGUGUUCAAAAAAAAUUUGUACUUCUCUGCACUCCCAAAAUAUGUGAGUUAUUGUUUCUAUUUCUGUUUUACAAAAGAAGCAAUAUGGCGUAUCAGUUAGACCAAUUUUGAAUAAAUAUGAAUUUGUUGUUAAUAUGUGCUGGUUUAUUCUAUAUUGUAACCAUAGUAAUUUUGAGCUUCUAGUAAUUCGAAAAGGGGUCAAAUAUAUAUAUCUCCAAGUUUCUUCAUCUAUUUCAAAUAAGUUGUUCCACUUCCUUUUACCAGUAGGUAGGAUUUUAUUACUACAAAGAAUGCUGUAGAAAUCUUUUGACCCUUUCUUGCUUUUAAGAAAAAUUUUAAAUUAUUGGGAAUAAAGGGAUAAGAUAAGUUAAUAUUAUCAAAUUGUCUGUGCAAUAGAAAGUCCCUGAUGGAAUUAAUAAUACCCUGGUAAGUUAAAAAAUUUGUGUUAACAUUGAAUUUUGCUGUAAACUCCUGAAAACUGUAAAAUAUCAAUAGGUGGGGAUGUUUCAUAAGAUCAUGAAGUAUAACAAUACCCUUUUUAUACCAUCCCUGAUAAAAUAUUACUUUUCUAUUUACUUUUAAAUCUUUAUUAAACCAAAUGGGUGUUUUCAGUAUUGGGUAAACAUACUUACUAUUUAAUUGUGUUGUUUUCUCUAUAAGACAGCUCCAAGACUUAAAUACAUCUUUCCAAAACAGAUUUUUACAUCUAGAUUCACAUUUUUUAAUGUAUUCUGCUCCACAAUUAGCCAAAAUGCCUAUAUCAAUAUUUUUUGCUAAAAUGUAUUGCCAUUUACCUGACUUAGAGUAUAAUCUUCUUAUCCAUGUUAACUUCAAAGCUCUAAUAAAAGAAUAUAUAUCCACCA